rnacentral:rRNA from 1 species
AUUGAACGCUGGCGGCAUGCCUUACACAUGCAAGUCGAACGGUAACAGGUCUUCGGAUGCUGACGAGUGGCGAACGGGUGAGUAAUACAUCGGAACGUGCCUAGUAGUGGGGGAUAACUACUCGAAAGAGUGGCUAAUACCGCAUGAGAUCUACGGAUGAAAGCAGGGGAUCGCAAGACCUUGUGCUACUAGAGCGGCCGAUGGCUGAUUAGGUAGUUGGUGGGAUAAAAGCUUACCAAGCCGACGAUCUGUGGCUGGUCGUAGAGCACGAUCAGACACGCGGGUACUGAGCAACGGCCCAGACUCCUACGGGAGGCAGCAGUGGGGAAUUUUGGACAAUGGGCGAAAGCCUGACCCAGCAAGGACGCGUGCAGGAUGAAGGCCUUCGGGUUGUAAACCGCUUCUGUACGGAACGAAAAGCCCCGGGUUAAUACCCUGGGGUCAUGACGGUACCGUAAGAAUAAGCACCGGCUAACUACGUGCCAGCCGCCGCCGUAA